GCGGCUUAAUUUGACUCAACGCGGGGUAAUUUACCAGGUAUAACAUGAUAUAAUAUUUUAUCAUGAUAGUGGUGCAUGGCCGUUUCCAAUGGAUGCUGUGAAGUAAUGAUUAAUUUCAACAAGAUGUGAGACCCUCAUUUAGACAGAUGUAGUGAUACAUAUGAAGGAGAGGAUUAAAACAGGUCCGUUAUGCCCUAAGAUAAUCUGGGUUGCACGCGCAAUACAAAAAUAUUUGAUAUUAUAAGGGAUAAUAUAAUGUGAGAUAUAUUUGAACAUGGAAUUGCUAGUAAAUUCUAUUAAAUAAGUAGAAUUGAAUGAGUCCCUGUUCUUUGUAUACACCGCCCGUCGCUAUCUAAGAUGGUAUUAUCUAUGAACAAAUUUAUAACGUGAAUAGAUAGUACUAGAUCUGAUAUAAGUCGUAACAUGGUUGCUGUUGGAGAACCAUUAGCAGGAUCAUAA
rnacentral:rRNA from 1 species